UCAUCAGGUGGGAUCAUCCUUACCUGUUUCUCCUUUUGGAGGACAGAUUAGAACAGGGUGAUUGGAGUUUGUGUGACAUGUGAUUAUCGUCUCUGUGUAAUCAGCACUUGCAACACCCUGAUUGCUUCUAUCUGAU
rnacentral:snoRNA from 1 species